UACGUAGGUGGCAAGCGUUAUCCGGAAUUAUUGGGCGUAAAGCGCUCGCAGGCGGUUUCUUAAGUCUGAUGUGAAAGCCCACGGCUCAACCGUGGAGGGUCAUUGGAAACUGGGAGACUUGAGUGCAGAAGAGGAGAGUGGAAUUCCACGUGUAGCGGUGAAAUGCGUAGAGAUGUGGAGGAACACCAGUGGCGAAGGCGACUCUCUGGUCUGUAACUGACGCUGAGGAGCGAAAGCGUGGGGAGCAAACAGGAUUAGAAACCCCCGUAGUCC
rnacentral:rRNA from 1 species